rnacentral:rRNA from 2 species
AAGUGUGAUCAUACCAGCACCAAUGCACCUAAUCCCAUCAGAACUCCGCAGAUAAGCGUGCUUAGGCGAGAGUACUACUAGGAUGGGUGACCUCCUACGAAGUCCUCGUGUUGCACCUC